CUUUAGCCCCGAUAGAAGUGGAAAUCCUUGUAAGCCGUCUCGUCCCAAAAGACGAGACGGCUUACAAGAUUGAAGCGGAUAGCGGGACAAUAU
rnacentral:sRNA from 1 species